rnacentral:rRNA from 1 species
UAAUACGGAGGAUGCGAGCGUUAUCCGGGUUUAUUGGGUUUAAAGGGUGCGUAGGCGGACUAUUAAGUCAGUGGUGAAAUCUUGCAGCUCAACUGUAAAACUGCCACUGAUACUGAUAGUCUUGAAUUUAGUUGAGGUAGGCGGAAUGUGUUGUGUAGCGGUGAAAUGCAUAGAUAUAACACAGAACACCGAUUGCGAAGGCAGCUUACUAAGCUAUAAUUGACGCUGAUGCACGAAAGCGUGGGGAGCGAACAGGAUUAGAUACCCUGGUAGUCCACGCCGUAAACGAUGAUUACUCGUUGUUGGCAAUACAUCGUCAGCGACUGAGCGAAAGCAUUGAGUAAUCCACCUGGGGAGUACGUUGGCAACAAUG